UUCGCGGAGGUCAUUUUCAUACCGCGAAAUUUUGCGCGAGCAACCGGGAGAUUAUAGUUUAAUGUUUUAUCUGUCGUCUUAAUAUUGUGCAUAUUCAUGCUUAGGCUGUUGACAUGUGAAAGUUGAAUGUUUGAUACCCAUAUGCUGAAGUUAGAUGUUUGUCAUUGUGCUGCAUGUGGACGGUACCGUUUUGUCUGUAAAACUAUGGAGGCCAAUUACAUGCCAUCGUUCCUCUUAGGAGUAAUGUUCUCCCUUGUGUUGUUUUCUGUCAUUGCAGAUGCGAUGUCCCAACAAGAAUCUGUCAGUAGGCUACCACAUUACACCUCAGCAGGCACACCAGAGAAGGACCACUCCUGGAUAAGGAUUUGAGCCACUGCCACGACUGCCAUCUCUACACUAUAUUACACACGCCAGCAGAUGUGGGAGGUGGUGAUCAACGUGACCCGUCAGCAGGUGGAGGACUUCCACGGCCCCGCGGACUACUGAUUACUGUGUGUGGCCUGUAGUCACCCGAGGACCUCCAAGAGCUGGCAAGGACACCAUCCGCGUCGCCCAACAUGGACAAACCAAAUCUGACAGGGUGCCCAUCAUCAGCUGCUGUGACGGGCCUUCCAUGGUGUUGCUGUGGUUAUUGCAAGGACAAACAAAAAACGUUUUGUUUGGUUUAUACAAACCAAAACAAUAUGUAAAUAAACUACACAAUUUGUACUGCUAAAUCCUGAAAUUGUAAGUAGUUAUUAAGUAAUGCCCGUGUGCGUUUGUAUUAAGCACUAUAUAAAAAUACAUUACACAUACGUAAAACCUGUUCUGGCCUUUUCUGUUCAGCAUUAUGAGAAGUCAAAUGGUAAAAGCAUGUUAAUAUACAGGUCUCAAGCACAAGAAACAUUGGGAUGAUAAUAGUAAGUGUU